rnacentral:rRNA from 1 species
UUGACCUCGAAUCAGGUAGGGAUACCCGCUGAACUUAAGCAUAUCAAUAAGCGGAGGAAAAGAAACCAACAGGGAUUACCUCAGUAACGGCGAGUGAAGCGGUAACAGCUCAAAUUUGAAAUCUGGUCCGGUUACGGGCCCGAGUUGUAAUUUGUAGAAGAUGCUUUGGUAGUGAGUCCGGCCUAAGUUCCUUGGAACAGGACGUCAUAGAGGGUGAGAACCCCGUAUGCGGCCGAGUACUCAGUGCCAUGUAAAGCUCUUUCGACGAGUCGAGUUGUUUGGGAAUGCAGCUCAAAAUGGGUGGUAAAUUUCAUCUAAAGCUAAAUAUUGGCCAGAGACCGAUAGCGCACAAGUAGAGUGAUCGAAAGAUGAAAAGCACUUUGGAAAGAGAGUUAAACAGUACGUGAAAUUGUUGAAAGGGAAGCGCUUGCAACCAGACUUGGGCACUGUGGAUCAUCCGAGGUUCUCCUCGGUGCACUCGGCAGUGCGCAGGCCAGCAUCAGUUUGGGUGGUUGGAUAAAGACUUGUGGAAUGUAGCUCCUUUCGGGGAGUGUUAUAGCCACAGGUGCCAUGCGACCAACCCGGACUGAGGACCGCGCUUCGGCUAGGAUGCUGGCGUAAUGGUUGUAAGCGACCCGUCUUGAAACACGGACC